rnacentral:rRNA from 1 species
CCUACGGGUGGCAGCAGUGGGGAAUAUUGGACAAUGGGCGCAAGCCUGAUCCAGCAACGCCGCGUGAAGGAAGAAGGCUUUCGGGUCGUAAACUUCUAUCAGCAGGGACGAAAGAAAUGACGGUACCUGACUAAGAAGCCCCGGCUAACUACGUGCCAGCAGCCGCGGUAAUACGUAGGGGGCAAGCGUUAUCCGGAUUUACUGGGUGUAAAGGGUGCGUAGGCGGCAAUGCAAGUCAGAUGUGAAAGCCUUGGGCUUAACCCGGGGAUUGCAUUUGAAACUGUAUAGCUGGAGUACAGGAGAGGAAAGCGGAAUUCCUAGUGUAGCGGUGAAAUGCGUAGAUAUUAGGAGGAACACCAGUGGCGAAGGCGGAUUUCUGGACUGUAACUGACGCUGAGGCUCGAAAGCGUGGGGAGCGAACAGGAUUAGAUACCCUGGUAGUC